CCUACGGGUGGCAGCAGUGAGGAAUAUUGGUCAAUGGGCGAGAGCCUGAACCAGCCAAGUCGCGUGAAGGAUGAAGGAUCUAUGGUUUGUAAACUUCUUUUAUAUGGGAAUAAAGUGAGGAACGUGUUCCUUUUUGUAUGUACCAUAUGAAUAAGCAUCGGCUAACUCCGUGCCAGCAGCCGCGGUAAUACGGAGGAUGCGAGCGUUAUCCGGAUUUAUUGGGUUUAAAGGGUGCGUAGGUGGUUAAUUAAGUCAGCGGUGAAAGUUUGUGGCUCAACCAUAAAAUUGCCGUUGAAACUGGUAGACUUGAGUAUAUUUGAGGUAGGCGGAAUGCGUGGUGUAGCGGUGAAAUGCAUAGAUAUCACGCAGAACUCCGAUUGCGAAGGCAGCUUACUAAACUCUCACUGACACUGAAGCACGAAAGCGUGGGGAUCAAACAGGAUUAGAUACCCUUGUAGUC
rnacentral:rRNA from 1 species